GCUAAACGCUGGCGGCGUGUCUUAGCCAUGCAAGUCGAGCGGACUUAUGGGGUAACUUAUAAGUCAGCGGCGGACGGCGGAGUAACACGUAGCUAAACCUACCCUCUGGACGGGGGAUAACCUACCGAAAGGUGGGCUAAUACCCGAUGUAGUCAUCCUGUAUAGGGGUGAUGAAAGGUGGGCUUCUGUUUACAAGCUCAUGCUGGAGGAGGGGGCUGCGGCCUAUCAGGUAGUUGGUAGGGUAAUAGCCUACCAAGCCGAUGACGGGUAGCCGGCCUGAGAGGGUGACCGGCCCGAGGGGCACUGAGAUACGGGUCCCACUCCUACGGGAGGCAGCAGGCUAGAAAUUUGGGCAAUGGGGGAAACCCUGACCCAGUGACGCCGCGUGCAGGAAGGAGCCCUUCGGGGUGUAAACUGCUGUCGUGUAGGGAGAAGGGUACUAAGGUGAACAAUCUUAGUACUUGACGGUACUACAGGAGGAAGCCCAGGCUAACCUCGUGCCAGCAGCCGCGGUAAGAUAGCGUACU
rnacentral:rRNA from 1 species